GUACGACGGGCGGGCGGACGUACGACGGACGGACGGACGGGCGACGAAUACUAUACACAAUGUGUAAAGACCAUACCGCCCUUAUACGCUUAGGGAGGGUGUACCGAAGUCCUUCUUCAUUUUUUUGGCCGGCGAGUGGCAAAACACCUUGAAAAUGUGGUUAACCAACAGUUACUUGUACUACCUGUAUACUUGAACGGACAAUAGGUCAUUUGUUCUUGCAAAUGACAUUUAACAAAAAAUUACUUUUCACCAGGAAAAAAAAUCUUACUUCUACAAAAUAUGGUUAACCAUCAGUUGUCUAAUGAAGAACAAACAAUAUGUCAUGUGUUGUUGCAAAUGAUAUAUAACGAAACAAUUACUUUUCACGAGGAAAAGAAAGUCUACCAAAGGUUUACUAGGAUGGCCACAUAUCCAAAAUAUUUGAGCACAAGCCUCUAGCUGGGACCACUAUAAUACUCAGAGCUUGCACUAAGAAACGUUGCUUCCAUCCUUAACUGCUUCUAGUCUAAGGGGUUGUUCAAAGUCCCUCCGCUCCAGGAGCCGAUGGAGCUGCAGGCUGAAAUACUGAAGUUAAAAAAUAGAUGUCCCGCAGAUCCGUGGAGCUGGUGGACAGCCGAACAUGCCCUUAAAUAUCUACUUGUGCAUAGCUUUACAAUGAUGACGUAUAAAAAGAGCAGAAGAACAUCACUUUGUG
rnacentral:lncRNA from 1 species